AGCGGAAGCGGAGAGCGCGGCGUGAAGGUCACCCUGCUGAGAGUAAGUUUCUCCUUUAUAGUGUAACUCUGUGAUGUGCCGUCCCUCUGACCCCAUCCUUUGGGUGUGGGGGUCACGACGGCCCUAAAAUCCCAGCACCCGGCCCUCCGUCCCAAGUUAGUCAAUACGUCGCCGUUAUAGGUCGGGUUUGUUUUCCUUAGAGUUCGAAAUCGCUCUGUGCCUGAUCCUGGAGCCCCCGGCUUUUCUGCCUUCAGUACACGUAGACGCAGCCUUUGGCGGCGUUUUCCUGCUUAGAUUCCUUUCCUGCCUCCGCCCCGCCAUGUAAAGUGCUCUUCCCCGAGGAGGACCCGCGCCCCCACCUCGCUCCCCCCACUGGAGGCAGCGCCGGCCGCCCCGCUCCCGGAGAGGCCGCGUCCUCGCCCCGGUGCUGGGAUUCGGGAGCCCCCCUCUCCUGAGACCACCCUCCCUGCAGCCCCUCUGUCCUCGCGGCCCCUCCGGCCGGUCCUUCUGCCCCGCAGGCCUCACGUGUGUAGUCAGCCCUUCCCCGCACCCGGCGUAGGGGGAGGUGACCUCGUCCACCGUGUGACACCCAGCGUUCUUCCGUCUCAAAGUCCACCGGAUGAAAUAUGUUCUCUUCCGGUUGGCGGGCAUCUUAUUUAGUCUCCAUCCCUGUAAAUACUUGUGUGAGGGGCAUGAGGAGAGGCAGAGACAUGGGAAUGACAUUGUGGCGCAUCGGUGUCAGGACCCACAGCAGCGGUUCGCGUCGCUGCUGUGGUUCUGGUUCCAUCCCUGGCCAGGGAACUUCAACCUGCCGUGGGCGCCCCCCCCGCCCAAAAAAAAGAUGAGCCAAACACAGAAAACAAAUGAAAUACAGUAGGCCUUGAAAUUAGCAGGUGCGUGUACUCCAGAAGUAAUAAAAAGCCGGAUCUUCAGGGGUUGGAAAGCAACACUGGGAGAGUGUAGCAGUGCAGUGAUGGGAGGGGUGGCGGCUGUGUUGAGGCACUUAGCAGGGAGAGCGGCGGAGGUGGAGGGUAAUAAACAGUGGGAACUACAGGAAAUUCAGAGUCUCCUUGUUCUGGGAGAGAAACAGAUGACAACUUGUGACUAGCAGAGGAAGAGACAGAGCAGGAAGAAAGCAGAGCCACUUGGGGUGCCAGGGAGUGGGGGAGGGAGUGUAACAGGGACAGAAGGGGUGGGUGGUGUAACCCUGGGGACAGAGAGAGUGUAGAGUUGUGUGAAGGGGGCAGAACUAUAUGGAUAUUUAAGACAAUUAGAAAGGCUGGGGGAAGAACAAGUGGGGAGUCUACUUGCAGAGUAGGGCAGGAUGGAUGAGAGAUAAGAAACAGGAGGCCAGGGAGUUCUCCUCCUGGCUCAGCAGAAACGAAUCUGACUAGAAUCCAUGCCAGCGCAGGUUCGACCCCUGGCCUCCCUAGGUGGGUUAAGGAUCCGGCAUUGCCGUGAGCUGUGGUCUCUGUAGUCUGUGUAGGUCACAGACGUGGCUGGGAUCUGGUGUUGUUGCGGCUGUGGUGUAGACCAGCGGCUACAGCUCCAAUUCAACCUCCAUGUGCCUCGGAUGUGGCCCUAAAAAGACAAAAAAGAAAGAGAAGAAAUAGGAGGCCAGGAGUUUCCAUCGUGGCUCAGUGGUUAACAAACCCCUGACUAGGAUCCAUGAGGACAUGGAUUCCAUCCCUGGCCUUGCUCAGUGGGUUAAGGAUCUGACGUUGCCAUGAGCUGUGGUGUAGGUCACAGACGCGCCUCGGAUCCUGCGUUACUGUGUCUGGUGUAGGCUGGCAGCUACAGUUCUGAUUCCACCCCUAGCCUGGGACCCUCCAUAUGCCGCAGGUGCAGCC
rnacentral:lncRNA from 1 species